AUGCAAGUCGAGCGAUCUUCUUCGGAAGAGAGCGGCGGACGGGUGAGUAACGCGUGGGUAACCUGCCCUAUACACACGGAUAACAUACCGAAAGGUAUGCUAAUACGAGAUGAUAUAAGAAAUUCGCAUGUUUUUCUUAUCAAAGCUUUUGCGGUAUAGGAUGGACCCGCGUCUGAUUAGCUAGUUGGUAAGGUAAUGGCUUACCAAGGCGACGAUCGGUAGCCGGACUGAGAGGUUGAACGGCCACAUUGGGACUGAGACACGGCCCAGACUCC
rnacentral:rRNA from 1 species